GGUCAGCUGCAUUUGGGUUUUUGUCUUUAUUUCCAUUACUCAGAACAGCCAGUCGUGACAGCCAUCCUUGGCUCCCAGGCAGUGAGGGACAAGGCUCUUCCUUGACCCAGAGGCAUGGCAGAGGAAUAACAGCUGGGUCAUCAGAGCCUGACUCCUGGGACCCUCUUCACACGGAAACCACAAACCAGGAUAAAGUCUUUGGGAGCUGCAAGGAUGAGCCAGCUGCGCUGGAGCAGCAAGUAGACCACCCUGCCCCUGGGAGGACCCAGGCGUGGGCAUCCCUGGCUGGAUGGGCCGGAGAUGCUCCACCAGCCACAGCUGGAGCGUCUGCGGGCCAAGCGUGCSGCUCGACGCCCGUGUCUAGAAUGUCACCAGAGCUUCCUCCUCUGUGUCCUGGACGGGAUCCAGGGCUCCCGAAGAAGCUGCGGUUGGGCAGCCCGGGCAGGGCUGGGCUGCUGCUCGCGCUGCGGACGCGGGCCACGCCCUCUUGGACGCGACCACGCCUCCAUCUCCCGGGGCCCACGGAGCCACGCCCGGCCCUGCAGCCAAACAGCAGGAAGGCAGAUUUGUACGAUGAGAAGAAAUAUGGGUCUCAUAUCCUUAAAAUAGCCUGUUGCUGCCCUCCCCGUGUCAUCGAAGACUCAAACACCUUCCUCAUCCUGCUCCAGCUCUGACUCAUGGACUCCCUCACAGCACUAUGCAGAGGCCUCCAAACCCUCAUCCUGCACAGAGCUGAUCUUCUGGAAAGAUGUCCUCCUCACCUCUCAGCUUGCAAACCAUCCUGGACCACUGUCUCUACCUCCCCUGCUCAGUCCCACCUAAUAAAAUCUGAAUUGUUCAAGAGAGAAAAAAGAAG
rnacentral:lncRNA from 1 species